AGGAUAAAUGCAGCCCUGGCCUCCUGCAUCCUCACCCAGCUCCCAGAGCACGGACGAAGAUGAAGGCGGCCGCGCUCAGCCUCGUGAUGCUCCUCGCUGCCCUGUGCUGCACAGUGGAAGCUCAGGCAGUUCUGGAUGUGCAGCCUGAGGAAGGUUUAGUGGAACUGGGACCUCUCGAUGUUCUUCCUGACCCUCCUCUUCUCAGUAGCGCAGAGGAGAAACUCCUGCGUGUGAGACGCGUGGCCCUGGAUCUACAUGUCUAGUCCUUCUCCUGGAUUAAGUCCCUGGGCACAAACCCUGCACGGACAAGGCUUCUCCUCGCCAGUGAUGCCCUUUCACAUCCUCUGAUGACCAGCGCUGUCCUCUGAUGACCAAUGAAGACCUUGAUGAUCAAUGACACCCUCUGAUGAUCAAUAAAUCCCCCCAGCAAAGCCACA